UACGGAGGGUGCGAGCGUUGUCCGGAAUCAUUGGGCGUAAAGGGCGCGUAGGUGGCGGGACAAGCGUGCGGUGAAAGCUCGGGGCUCAACCCCGAGUCGGCCGUGCGAACUGUUUUGCUUGAGCACUGUAGAGACAGGCGGAAUUCCGGGUGUAGCGGUGGAAUGCGUAGAGAUCCGGAAGAACACCGGUGGCGAAGGCGGCCUGCUGGGCAGUAGCUGACACUGAGGCGCGACAGCGUGGGGAGCAAACAGG
rnacentral:rRNA from 1 species